rnacentral:lncRNA from 1 species
AGGUGGAUGCAAUCAUAUCAGUAUUAAUAUGUUGCGGUCAAUCGCUUCAUCGUCCGAUCGUCGGGGAACGGACACCUACAAAAAUGAGAAGUCCACACUGAUCGGAGGCAGCUCCGACGGGGACCCUCCGACGGUCAAGUCAGAGAGGUGACUGGGCAACAGUAAAAAAUGAAGACAGAGAGCUCGAUCAAAGAGAAAGAGAGGGA